GAUGAACGCUGGCGGCGUGCUUAACACAUGCAAGUCGAACGGAGAAACGGUAGCUUGCUAUCUUUUUUUAGUGGCGGACGGGUGAGUAACGCGUGGGCAACCUACCCCAAAGUCCGGGAUAACAGUGGGAAACCGCUGCUAAUACCGGAUGGCUUUACCUGAGGGCAUCCUUGGGUAAAGAAAGGUUACGCUUUGGGAUGGGCCCGCGUCCUAUUAGCUAGUUGGUGAGGUAACGGCUCACCAAGGCGACGAUGGGUAGCCGGCCUGAGAGGGUGAACGGCCACACUGGGACUGAGACACGGCCCAGACUCCUACGGGAGGCAGCAGUAGGGAAUAUUGCGCAAUGGGCGGAAGCCUGACGCAGCGACGCCGCGUGAGCGAAGAAGGCCUUCGGGUCGUAAAGCUCUGUCCGUUGGGAAGAAGGCGAAAGCUUGACGGUACCCAAGAAGAAAGCCCCGGCUAACUACGUG
rnacentral:rRNA from 1 species